CAGAACCAAAGAAACUGCCAAAGGCUCUUUCUCUGUCUAACACCCAUUACACAAUGCAACAUUGUUUGUCAAGCUAUUGAGUUCUUUAUCUGGGGACUCUGUGGAUAAUCAUCUUUCAAGAUAAGGAUCUUUUGGAAGAACGUGUUGGUUCAGGUGACCUAAGUUGCGAUCCCAACUCUUCCUCUUCCUGGCUCUGUGAGGGCUGGUCAGACUGUAAGUUCCAUGAAGACAGCAAACCUGUCUACCUGGCCCACGGUUGUAUUCUCGGAUACGAGCAUAGAAACUGGUAUAUAGCCGAGAUGCAGACGUGAUGCUGGUGAGCUGCUCCAACCAUGCUCAUGAGGACAGCACCCUAGAGCAUGGACCGGGAGAUGGAAGGAAUCUUAUUUAUGGGAAGCCCUUACAGAAGGAGCCACCGUCCAGCCUUGGACAGAUAGUCACUGCAUUUGACAAAUGGCACUCUCAAGGAUUUAAUGAAUGAGACGCUGACCAGGAAACACAGAAGUGGUCCUAAAUUUUCUCCUGUGACUGGAUGUUUUGCUGAAACAUGAAUGUGGCACAGCAACAUGAUAGCACUUUCUGAAGCCCGUAAUGCUGGAGUGGCGAUCUACAAGAAUCUGACAAGAGCAACCUGCACUGGGGCACAUGUGACUGUUAUUAUAUCUUAAAGUUAUGGCCAUGUAAAUGUGCAACAUGACCAAAGUUGAAGCGCCUCGGCAUUUCACUUCACCAGAACGCCUGUAUUUCCCCAUGUGUAGCACAAAAUCACCCGUGAAUACACUGUCUAUGUGUUUUCGUUUCUCUUCAUGGGCAAUGUUAUAGCUGCCAUGUUGCGCUAAAAUUACAUGACAGCAAUCUUAACUUUCUGACACUGGUUUGCUGUUCAGUGAAACAUCCUAGUGGAGAAAUUGGCUGAGAAUGACGGUGGCUGAUUUGUAAUUCUCUUGGGGCUCACUCUUGGCCUUUGCCUAGGCUGGUGGAUUUGCUGAAUAUACCUACAGUCCUGCUUGUGGAGCAUAUUCUCAAACUUUAGAGUAGACCACAAUUCCUUGGGUGGUGUCUGUCUAAAAUGCACCUUCCUAGACCUCACACGCAGAUGUGCUGAUUUAGGCCUGGAGUAGAAUUGAACAAUGAGCGUUUUUUAACAAGACCCAUGGAUGAUUCUGAGGCAGGUGGUCCACAGAUUCCGCCUUGAGUAGACCAUUAGCUUAGCACCACAGGGAGAUGCAGGGAAGUGGAAAUCGUGGUCUCUGCGAUUGAUGCAUGUAAACAGAAGAGAGAAGGUAAAGACAUUUACGACAUGCAAAUGAUCAAGGAGCCCCUAAAAAAGGCCAACAUUUAUUGAGUGCUUACUGUGUUCCAGGCAUAUGUAUUAACUGAUUUCAUUCUCAGUGCUGGGUUCUGUAACUAGCUUCAUUUACACUUAAGAAAUCAAGGCAGAGAGAAGUUAAUUAUCUUGCCUAGAAUCAUAAAGCUAUUAAGUAACAGGAUUGGUUUUGAGCAGGCAGGUCUGCCCCUAAAGCACUUAUUCUAACUCCAGCUCUGCACAGCCUCCAGCUGGUAUGCUUUGCUUCCAGAAUCCAAACUUGCCAAGUAUGUAAAUUGGUGUUUGUUUAUCGUGUGUGGGUAUGAAAAUUCAUAUGAGAAAAGCAUUGUCUCAAAGUUUUCCUUUAAGAAUGAAUUCUUAUUUUUUAAACAAAAGGGUUAAUUUAUGAUUGCAGUUGUAUUAAAAACUCAAACACACACUGUAAUAAAUUCUAGCCAGGCACUACACUUAACACUGGGGAUAUAGAAAUAAAGGUCUCUUGGGGAGCUUAUUGUGUAAAGAGAUAAAAAGAGCUGGUCACAGUCCAGGAUAAUAUACCAGACAAUCUACAGCUUGGUAUUGGUAAUUGGUACAAUGGAGAGCAGCAUAGCUUUUGGCGGAAGCACAGGGCAGUAGGAGUGGGAGGUUGUGGUGUCCAACCAUUGGUUGGAUCUAGGUUAGGCUACUCUAGGAGACUUCACGAAAGAAGUAUGACCUAAGCGGCAUUUGGAGAAUGUGCUAUAGAGUCCAUGAAAAUCUAAGAGCUUGCCAUGUGAUCCAUCCUCCUUUAAGGAAGCUCUUUCUAUAGAUUUGCCAUGCUUUAUGGCACGUGACUCUGUAACUCUGGUCAUAACUUCCUAGAUCAGGGAAGUGCCCAGCUCAAAGGCAAUUGUUUAGAAAGAAGGUAAUAGUUUGUUCAUUUGGGGAAUGUGAGUGGAAGAUGAACCUAGGAAGCAAUGGACAACUGUGUUUGUGGCAAUGACAUGAUGUCAAGGUACUGCUACUCAAAGCAUGAUCCAUGGAUCUGUGCUGAUCCAUGAACUCUCUGUUACAAGUACGUGAAGAGAUAAGUGCUGAAAUUGAGAGUAAGAGUAAAAAUUUUCGUAGUGAUUGAGCAUUGCCAGAACAUCCAAGAGCAGGUCUAAUGGCUGUAUUAAUUUAUCUGUUAAUGCAAAACAAAUUAUCCCCAAACUUAGUGGCUUUAAACAGCAAUAAAUGUUCCUUAUUUCACACAAUUUCUGUAGUUCUGGAAAUCAGGAUCUGCUUAGCUGUUGUUUCUGGCCUGGUUUCUCCUGAGUUUGCUGUCAAGGUGUUGGCUGGGGCGGCAGUCAUCUGAAGGGUAGACCAGGGCAGGAGAUCCACUUCCAAGAUGACUCACUCCUAUGCCUUUUGGCAGAAGACCUCAGAUCCUUUCCACGUGGACUGUUCCACAGAGCUGCGUCAGCCUCCUCAUGACAUGGCAGCUGGCUUCUCCAGAGCUAGUGAUCCAAAAGAGAAGUUGCAACACUUUUCAUGACUAGUCUCAGAAGUCACACACGGUAAGUUCUGCCACAUUCUAUUCAUUAGAAGCAAGUCACUAAGUACAGCCCACACUCAAGGAGAGAGCAGUUGGACUCCACCUUCUGAUGAGAGGAGUGUCAAAAAGUUUGUGGAUAUUUUUAAAAACCACCACAGUGUACAUAUCUUUUAAAACAGAUUAUAGACAAAUUUGCGUGUUGUGGAACAUGCAUAUCAAGUUGCGUGUGGCGAGGACUGUGGAGUAGUCAUGUACGGUUGGAAAACUUAUUCCACAAAAUUGUGGAUACUUAAGAAAUGGUCCUUUACCAUUUACCAGGGAUAGAUUUAGAAGCACUAGUCUAGAGCCUUGUAUCCUACUCUUCAAAGACUUUUGCUCAGAUAACCCCAAAAGAAUUUUGAAAAUCUAUGUACCGUCUGUUACAUAUUUUAAAAUUAACGCUAAAAAACUUUGUCAUAAUUAAAAAAAUUUAAAGAAUAUAAUUUCUG